rnacentral:rRNA from 1 species
GAUGAACGCUGGCGGCGUGCCUAACACAUGCAAGUCGAGCGAUCUUCUUCGGGAGAGAGCGGCGGACGGGUGAGUAACGCGUGGGUAACCUGCCCUGUACACACGGAUAACAUACCGAAAGGUAUGCUAAUACGGGAUGAUAUAUGAAAGUCGCAUGGCUUUUAUAUCAAAGCUCCGGCGGUACAGGAUGGACCCGCGUCUGAUUAGCUAGUUGGUAAGGUAAUGGCUUACCAAGGCGACGAUCAGUAGCCGACCUGAGAGGGUGAUCGGCCACACUGGAACUGAGACACGGUCCAGACUCCUACGGGAGGCAGCAGUGGGGAAUAUUGCACAAUGGGCGAAAGCCUGAUGCAGCAACGCCGCGUGAGCGAUGAAGGCCUUCGGGUCGUAAAGCUCUGUCCUCAAGGAAGAUAAUGACGGUACUUGAGGAGGAAGCCCCGGCUAACUACGUGCCAGCAGCCGCGGUAAUACGUAGGGGGCUAGCGUUAUCCGGAAUUACUGGGCGUAAAGGGUGCGUAGGCGGUCUUUCAAGCCAGAAGUGAAAGGCUACGGCUCAACCGUAGUAAGCUUUUGGAACUGUAGGACUUGAGUGCAGGAGAGGAGAGUAGAAUUCCUAGUGUAGCGGUGAAAUGCGUAGAUAUUAGGAGGAAUACCAGUAGCGAAGGCGGCUCUCUGGACUGUAACUGACGCUGAGGCACGAAAGCGUGGGGAGCAAACAGG